GCUCAUUUCUUUUCUUCUUCUCUCUAUACGUUGGUGUUCUAACCAAUAAUCACCGAUGCGAUGUUCUGUCCGAUCGAUUCAGGAACCAACUAACGGAUGCCAAAGUACUAUACUUUGAGAGUUCGUUAAACGAAUGCCAAAGUGCUAUACUUUGAGAGUUCGUUAAACGGAUGCCAAAGUACUAUACUUUGUGAUUUCGGUAAACGGAAUCCAAAGUGUUACACUAUGUGAAAUUCGUUAAGGUUCGAAUCUCGUGACUAUCGUUAAGGUUUGAUUUGGGUUUUACACAAAUACGUAUUCCAUUCUGUUAAACUAUAUGUUUAACUACCAAAAAUACUCCCAACUACACACUCACAAUCAAACAAACUAUUAAAUCAUCAGAAGAUCCAGAAUAAUAAAGUGCAUGCUUAAUUAUCGGAAGAAGUAGAAUCAAGAAGCUUGCUAACUCAAUCUUGCAUGCUUAUAAAGUAAUUACAGUAGAUUGGAGUAAGGAUUGGAUCCAGCACUGAAGGACUUCAAGAAGUGGCUUAUUUUAUUAAUUAAAUCAAAUUAAGAAACAUUGUUUUUAUUAAAAGCUACCUUUGUAAAACAUGGAAUUUAUUCCAUCUAUUUAAAUAAAAUCCGGUGUUUUUAAACUCUUAUAUUUUUCCUAACUCACGGUCCUGAUGAAAUUUCCGCUGCAAUGUUUUUAAAAAUAAUCACCGGUACCACUUGACUGCUCGCGGCUUCCGAUUCCGGCCAGGAUGGGGUCAGGGGUCGCGACAGGUCACCGAUCAAAUUUAUGGAUAUUAAAAAGGAGAAAACGGUCGGAUAGUCCCUGUGUUUGUCCAUUUUUCACCUUUAGUCCCUAACUUUCUAAAAUUACAGUUAUAGUAUCCAACUUUUGCAAUUUUGUUGCUAGAUAGUCCCUGGCGCGGAUGGGAGUUAGUUUUUGGUGUUCAGUGAUGUGAAAUUACAAAAUUACCCAU
rnacentral:lncRNA from 1 species